rnacentral:rRNA from 1 species
AGCAUAUCAAUAAGCGGAGGAAAAGAAACCAACAGGGAUUGCCCCAGUAACGGCGAGUGAAGCGGCAACAGCUCAAAUUUGAAAUCUGGCCUCGGCCCGAGUUGUAAUUUGCAGAGGAUGCUUCUGGCGCGGCGCCUUCCGAGUUCCCUGGAACGGGACGCCACAGAGGGUGAGAGCCCCGUAUGGUCGGACGCCAAGCCAGUGUGAAGCUCCUUCGAAGAGUCGAGUAGUUUGGGAAUGCUGCUCUAAGCGGGAGGUAUACGUCUUCUAAAGCUAAAUACCGGCCAGAGACCGAUAGCGCACAAGUAGAGUGAUCGAAAGAUGAAAAGCACCUUGAAAAGGGGGUUAAACAGUACGUGAAAUUGUUGAAAGGGAAGCGCCUGUGACCAGACUUGCGCCGGGCGGAUCAUCCAGCGUUCUCGCUGGUGCGCUCCGCCCGGCUCAGGCCAGCAUCGGUUCUGGCGGGGGGAUAAAGGCGGCGGGAACGUGGCUCCCCCGGGAGUGUUAUAGCCCGCCGUGCAAUGCCCCCGCUGGGACCGAGGUUCGCGCAUCUGCAAGGAUGCUGGCGUAAUGGUCACCAGCGACCCGUCUUGAAACACGGACCAAGGAGUCGUCCAUUACGGCGAGCGUUUGGGUGUAAAACCCCUGCGCGGAAUGAAAGUAAACGUAGGUGAGAGCUUCGGCGCAUCAUCGACCGAUCCUGAUGUACUCGGAUGGAUUUGAGUAAGAGUCGUACCGGACGGACCCGAAAGAUGGUGAACUAUGCCUGUAUAGGGUGAAGCCAGAGGAAACUCUGGUGGAGGCUCGCAGCGGUUCUGACGUGCAAAUCGAUCGUCAAAUAUGGGCAUGGGGGCGAAAGACUAAUCGAACCAUCUAGUAGCUGGUUACCGCCGA